rnacentral:rRNA from 1 species
GAGCUUGCUUCUCUGAUGGUUAGCGGCGGACGGGUGAGUAACACGUAGGCACCUGCCCUCAGUUUGGGACAACUACCGGAACGGUAGCUAAUACCGAAUAGUUGUUUUCUUCUCCUGAAGAGAACUGGAAAGACGGAGCAAUCUGUCACUUGGGGAUGGGCCUGCGGCGCAUUAGCUAGUUGGUGGGGUAACGGCUCACCAAGGCGACGAUGCGUAGCCGACCUGAGAGGGUGAUCGGCCACACUGGGACUGAGACACGGCCCAGACUCCUACGGGAGGCAGCAGUAGGGAAUCUUCCGCAAUGGGCGAAAGCCUGACGGAGCAAUGCCGCGUGAGUGAUGAAGGUUUUCGGAUCGUAAAGCUCUGUUGCCAGGGAAGAACGCUUGGGAGAGUAACUGCUCUCAAGGUGACGGUACCUGAGAAGAA